CAGCAGCCGCGGUAAUACAGAGGGUGCGAGCGUUAAUCGGAUUUACUGGGCGUAAAGCGUGCGUAGGCGGCUAAUUGAGUCGGAUGUGAAAUCCCCGAGCUUAACUUGGGAAUUGCAUUCGAUACUGGUUAGCUAGAGUGUGGGAGAGGAUGGUAGAAUUCCAGGUGUAGCGGUGAAAUGCGUAGAGAUCUGGAGGAAUACCGAUGGCGAAGGCAGCCAUCUGGCCUAACACUGACGCUGAGGUACGAAAGCAUGGGGAGCAAACAGGAUUAGAUACCCCCGUAGUCCCUGUCUCUUAUAC
rnacentral:rRNA from 1 species